rnacentral:lncRNA from 1 species
AACUGACUUCUUCGUGAGGCUGAACACUAUCAAAGAUUCCAAAAAGAGAAAAAGCCCAUGGCAGACAUCCAGCUGAUCACACUGUGUCCACAUAAGGCAAAUGCUGAGCUGUAAUCCAUCAAGCUGUUUCCGCAUAGAGAAAAGGCCAUAUGAGUACACAGCCAGAAGGUGUCUGCCUACAAGACAAAGAGGGAAAACUUACCUGAAACCAACCCUGAUGGAUAUUGGAUUUCUAAGCUCCAGAACUAAAAGAAUCAGUUUUAGAUUCUUCCGUCACUACAUUUGCUGCCUCGUACAUUUAAUAUGAUGCUCCAAAAUGAGAAAACUGACAAGCAAGCAGAACAGACAUAAUUGCCUGAGAUUUAACUUCAGAAAGCAAAACUAAGUUUCCAAAAUAUCAAAAAUAUUUUAAGUGUUGUUGUAUUUGUUGUUAUAUUAAUACAUGAUUUGGUUUUAUUGAAAUAAAAUAAUAAAUUUUGUAUGUUCAAG